rnacentral:lncRNA from 1 species
AGGUACAAACAUAUGGCUAGAAACAAUACGAUACAUGCAUUAAUAAUAUUAUUGAUGACCGGAAUAAUUAUUUAUUCUGCCAUUGCUGAAUUUCAUGAUUCUGUCAUUCCUAAAAAAUCAUGGAUUCAUUCUCAUUAUAUUGCAACUAGUAAAGGAAGAAAAAGAAAUCAACCUCCGCGAGAAGAUCUACCUGCCCGGGACCCUAUUACGAAAAACAAGAGGGAGGCAAAGUUGAAGAAGUGUCUUCGAAAUUGCGAGCUGCUUUAUCGGAAUUGUCCGACAGACUUUAAUAUAUGCGCUACCGCAUGUUAUGUUAGGCACUCACCUAAGGGAUUUUUUGCUUGAA